UACGUAGGGUGCAAGCGUUAAUCGGAAUUACUGGGCGUAAAGGGCGCGUAGGCUGUGUCUGUAAGUCAGGCGUGAAAGCCCGGGCUCAACCUGGGAAUUGCGCUUGAUACUGCGGCGCUGGAAGGUGGGAGGAGGAUGGCGGAAUUCCCAGUGUAGAGGUGAAAUUCGUAGAUAUUGGGAAGAACACCGGUGGCGAAGGCG
rnacentral:rRNA from 1 species